AAUGAUAAUACAGGCAAGGUUUGUUCCUGCUGUUGCAACAGAGCCUUAACGAGUCAUUUUGUCAGCCCUAAGAGGAAGAAGAGUCCUGCCUUUGUUAAUGAGAGAAAGACCGAGCUCCUCCCUGUUGCACUGAAUCAUCCCCAGCUCUUCUCUCCAAAGGAGUUUAUAGAAAGGAGAUGCAGAUUUUCUGCCUACAGCUAUAUGAGUCUGAAUUCUUCUUCACAUGGGCAACCAGAUGAAGAGGCACCAUUUCAGUUUGUGACCCCAGAACUUCCUCCUCUUCUGCCACCUCCAGCUGGUGAGAUCACGAGUUCAGUCCUUGACAUGGAAUUUGCAGUCUGCCUGAUGUCAUUCCACUUGUGUCUUAGCCUCUUCCCAUUCUUGUAUGACUUUAUCCUCCUUUAUUGAUGUUGCUUCAUAACCCCGUGAAAUGCACAGGGUGUAUUUCAUUAGUGCUGGACUACUUGCGUAGGAGUGCUAAUGAAAACAUUAAAUGAAAUCAAGCACAAGGCUUUGAAAAACUCCAUCGGAAGUAUGAUUCUUCCUCGGCCUUGAAGGGGGUCCAAUUCCGAGUUGAAGCCAUGCAAGGUUCCCAGCAUGACAGAGCCCCCCUGAUGCAAAUAGCUGCUCUUUUGACAUGAAGAGAAACGAAUCUCAUCCCAACAAACCUGCACGGAUGCUAUUGGUCUCCUGAGCCCUGUCUUGACGCUGCUCAGAUGUGACACCAGCAUCUGAAAGCUUCUCCCAGGAGGGUUCAUUUGCUGAAGAGAUGAUGAUUAUGGGCUCCUUAGGAGGUGGAAUAAAGGAGAUGCCCUUUAGUUGCAGCAGUGUUUUUUUCUGAAGUAUCUCAGUGCCAGCACAUACUUGUCCACGAUGUAGUUUUUUCCCAUUAAUAAAUCCACAGACCCUGCUGGAUACCACUGCUGUUACGUUUGCAAAAUGUUACAGUGUUAAUGGGGUUCUGCUCCUUUCACGUAUCUUG